CCCUGCCUCCUCCCUGGUCUCUCACAGGAUGUUUUCUUUCCGCAGUUGGAAAAGGAGGGAGCUAUGCUCAGGCUGCCACGUGAGGCAGCUGCCUUGUGGGGACUGAGUGAUGGAAAAUGUGUUCACGCUCCCACUUCCUGACUCAAGAACCUCUGAUUGGGGGGCUGGCCCAGCCCUGCUCCCCACACUUUCCUGUCAGCAGAGGCGGGCUGGGCCCUCCCCAUCCCUUCCUUUACUCCCUGGGGCUCUGAGCUACAACUUCCUGCUUUGUAUUGAAAUGAGACUGUGGAUUGACCUCGUGUUUUAAUUCUUGCCAUGACUGGUGACGUGUAAUUAAAGGAGACCCUUUAAUUAAUUAUUUUCUCAGAGGAAAUAAAUGGAAGCACCAAGGAUUCUGC